AUCGGCCUAUUUUAACCUCAGGAACCUGAGGUUAAGCUAUGGCCCAUUCUUUACCAAACACCCUGUAUACAUAGCAGCCGUACUCCACCAUAUUACUGGGGAGAUCAAAGUGGAAAAACGUUCAAGAAACCAAUUUCUAAGGGCAAAAGCCUGAUUAUUGUUCAUGCUGGAGGAGAGACUGGAUUUGUACCUAACGCUCUGUUAAUUUCUAAAUCAGGAUCCAAGAGUGGUGACUAUCAUGGCGAUAUGAACCACCUUAAUUUUAUGAAGUGGGUCAGAAGUCAGCUCUUACCCAACUUACCCAAAAACUCGGUUCUGGUAGUUGACAAUGCAUCCUACCAUAACGUAACAAUGGAAAAAAAUGUGACAUCUGCCAGCCGUAAGGAUAUUAUGGUAAAGUGGUUACAGAAAAAAGCAUCCCUUUUCCAGUAAACUUAACCAAGCCAGAAUUGUACAAAAUUAUACAAGUCCAUAAACCACGUUUUCCACCUGUUUAUGCAUUAGAUCAUGAGCUUGAACAGCACGGACACAAAGUACUUUGCUUGCCUCCCUAUCAUCCGGAGUUAAACCCUAUAGAAAAAAUAUGGGCUUUGGUAAAAGGUAGGGUGGCCAGUCAUAAUACAACAAUCAACAUAAAUGAUGUUGAAAAUAUAACGAAAAAAAAAUUUUCAGAAGUGUUAAUACAAGAAUGGGGUAACAUGUAAACACGUAAACAAAUAUGAAGACACCCUAAUAGAAAAAGAGCAUUUGUUAGACGCUACGCUGGAAAACCUAAAAUUUUUUAUUAAUACUGGUUCAUCAGAAGAAAGCUUUUCUGAGGAUGAGGACAGUGAUUCAAAUUCCAGAAUAGAUAUCUUAGAAUCAUCCGAAGAAUCGUAAUUAAAACUUUGUUUAGAAUUAUUGUUUAGAAAAUAAAUAUAUUAGAAUUAGUAAAAAUAAACACUUGUUUGUAAUCCUUCCUUCCUGCCUGAUAAUGUUAUUACAUAACUGUAAGUAUUGAGGAAUUUGUCAUAUAUUAAAGUACUCUAAUAUUUUGCUCAUUAUUUUAUCAAAUGCAACUGAUUAUAGGCUUCAUAAUUAUUACAAACUAUGAAAAUAAAAAGAAACAAAUUCA
rnacentral:lncRNA from 1 species